rnacentral:rRNA from 1 species
GACGUAGGGCGCGAGCGUUGUCCGGAUUUAUUGGGCGUAAAGAGCUCGUAGGCGGCUUGUCGCGUCGACCGUGAAAACUCGCAGCUCAACUGCGAGCCUGCGGUCGAUACGGGCAGGCUAGAGUUCGGUAGGGGAGACGUGGAAUUCCUGGAUGUGAGCGGUGAAAUGACGCAGAUAUCAGGAGGAACACCGGUGGCGAAGGCGGGUCUCUGGGCAACAACUGACGCUGAGGAGCGAAAGCGUGGGGAGCGAACAGG